rnacentral:pre_miRNA from 1 species
GGGGGGAGGCCGGAUCCUGGGCUGUGUCCCUGCGCCCUGUGCUCGGGCCUGCGCUGUUGGAUUUACGCUCCCGCCCCGCAGCCCCCU